UUCUGUAAGAAUGUGAAAAAUCGCUAAAUAUAGAAGUAUUCUAUUAUUACGUAUUUUUUAAAGACUAGUUGUUUGGUUUUGACAGAAAUAGCUUCGUCUUGACUGUCGGUGGCUCUAACGAUAAAGACGACUUAGCCAACUGCGAGCGCCACAGCGAGCUAUAUGUUUCCACCACACGUUUCCAAGUAUCCAGGACUAAUAUUCAUUUACUUAAAAAACAAAGAUUAUUUAAGUGGUCAAUUAUAUUUUGCGGUAAUGAUUUUAUUUAACGAUUUUAUAUAUUGUUCAUACGAAACAUCCAAUUGAAAUGUACUUUAUAAAAAUAGAAAAGGUGGCGCAAUUAUUUGGGAACAAUUCCAGGUAAGCAAUAACUGAUAAUAACAACAAGAAAAAGAAAAA